rnacentral:lncRNA from 1 species
UCAGGGAGUGCCCUGAUGCUCAGGCUGUAACUGUGGUUGCCGGCCGGCUCGAUAGCAAGGGUGCGUAGGGGGCGGCGAGGAUUGUCGCUGAACUUGUGCGCGUGUGGAGGGACGGCUCAUGGAUGGCCGAGGUUCGUCAGCGAUGUCGCGGUGACCUCGGCCUUCACUGGCGAGGGUGCGUCAUGUCUUCACUUGGGAAGAGCUCCAUGCACUCCAUCAACUUCAUCCAUCAGCACCAGCAUGGGGGCAUGCUGCGUCUUUAGGAGGGGGCAUUGUCACGACCAACCUAACGACCGAAGAGCAAAGGAAGGAAUGGAAGAAGCAAAGCCAGAAUAAGAAGACUACGAAGAGAGUAGCGCUUGCUCUUUUGCGCUGCUAGCGGGAAGCCCAAUCCCACGCAGGCACAAUGGCACAAUACUAAAGAAUGCCCCAGGUCAGUGAUGUUAAAUAGCUGUUGUCGUCGUUGUCGAGAGACCAGUUUGUAUCAGGGGCAGAGCUAGAUGGUGGACAUGAAUUUAUAUCAUAGCAAGAAAAAUCUAAAUAUUUUCUUUUAAAGGAUAGUUUCACUGCUGGCCCACCCUGACUCAUUGGGCUAGACCCGCCACUGGUCUGUAUCUAGCUAUUGCUAAACCACUCCUUCCUGCUCCUCUUUGUUCUUCCUCAAGAACUUGUGCUUCACAUUACCUGUAUCUUGGCGUGGUACCAAGGUGCUCGGAUAUGUAAUAAUCAAAGUUUGAUCCAUUCUGUAUCCCUUUAUAGUGUUACUUUUGGCAUCAGAGCCUCAGAUCCCACCUUAUUCUUUUCCUCCCAAUUUUUUCUGAGAGUUGAGAGCAUAUCCCCAGCAACCCACCAAAAUCCUUUGCUACUAUUUGGUUGUGAAACUGAGUUUCUAUGGUAUCUCUUGAUUCUUUGACAUAGGAGCUUAUGCAAGGUAUGCUGUACUUAUUUUAUAAAUUGAACCCCACCGUCGCCUCCCACACUUUACUUGAGGAAAGGCCUCUGCUCUGUACUCUCCAGACUCCCUUCUCUCUCUGCCUCGCCUCCAAUCAUUGUCGUUGCCUGCUGACAACCGGUUGCCGAAGCUGGUUGCCUGUGCCACGGGCCACAUGGCACUCCGCCUGGCCAUGCCCCUGCAUCUAGCCCUAGCCCCAGCCCUUGUAGUUGAGGCCUGAGGCGUGGUGAUGGCUCAUUGGUGAUGUGGUUGCAUGUCUGAGGAACUAAUCCUAUCGUGCAAUGAUGCAUGGAGCGAUGGGGAUGACACACUCGCAUGAGAGCGGCCCCAUGGCCGUUGCAUAAGGAGAUGACAACGCUCUCAAAGCUGGACGGAGGACUACUCUAUCCUAGCAUGUGACGUUUGUCUAUCCUGAAAGCUGCUGUCGUCGCCUCAGUCGGUAGAUGGCAUGAGGUGGCAGAGGCAACGGUUGCUUUGUCGUCCAAGGCUAGGAGCACGAAGCAAGCUCGAGCAGCGGGUAUGACUGUUGAGGUGACAAUCUGGCAAUGGCUUCUGCCUCAUGCUGUUAGAUGCAGGAACACCUGCCUGAUCUCUUCCAAUUAUGCAUGCAUGACAGAAAUUUCUGGAUGGGCUGAAAGAUUGCCUAAAGAAAUGCUGUAUCAGGCAUUGCUUGAUUCUGGUUUAAUAGGUUGGAUUUCGGAUUGUAGAGGAAAAAAGGGUUUGAGAGAGAGACCAAGGGAUCGGUAGCCUGCUCGUGUUUUGCUUCUGGAAAUUGAUGAAAGAGAGACGAAAACAGAUAGGAGGUAGACGCACUGGGACCCACAUGAGGAUUGGUUCUUCUAUCCUCGGCUCACAUAUGUGUGAUAUUAGAUUUAUAAUUAACCAACAUUUGAUUAUCCAAUCGAAACUCAUGUUCAAAGUUAAUCCAAUUUAGUUACUAUUGAAAUGCAACUAAGACCGUCAAAAUUAGUACUAUUGGAAAAUUAAAUAAACAUAAAUAUUUUUUCCAUAAUGCAAUAUUGGGGGGCAUCUUAUAUUGGGGUUCAUAUUACAUGCGAUUUUCGGCUGUACAUUGGAAAUUAGAUAGUGCUUGGAUUAUAAUAAUACGUAAUUCUGCAUUUCCUCGUGUUUAUAGAUUAGAUGACAAUUGACAGUGGAAAAACCUGCAUCCUGCAUGUACUCCAGCAGGCUCACUCUGCCCACAUUGGUCCACCGGCGUGGCAAAUCACCCAAUUGCUCUAGUUUUUAUGUAAAGUCCAGUUAAAUAAUCUUUUGUUGUCGAUAGUUUCACCACUGCCAGCUUCUUUGGUUGGCAAACAAACAAUAUCCAAGCAAUUAAGCCAACGGCAUAGCAAGGAUUUAUCGAAGCCCAGGGCUGACUGCUAGAGGCCCAACCAGAGGGAAAGAUAAUGGGCUGCGCCUCAGGCCAAACAUGAUACCCACUAAAAUAUAGGCCAGGGAUCCUAAAAAAUAAACUACAAUAUAGGCUAGGAAUUUUCCCACGCCCUGGGCCUGCCUGGGGCCCAGCCAUGCUUUUGCAUUAAGCACGACCCCAUCCGAAAAAUGUAUAUCAGAAAUGGCAAUUAUCUUUAAUUAGGAGUAAGAGUUUACUGUUGUAAUAGGUAAUGCAAACAUGGCUAAGUUAACCAUGGUCAGUCUCCCUCCUCCUGGUGAGUAUGUUGCUCCUGUUAGGAAAAUAUGCGUCAUUGUAUUAUCAGUAGGCUGAAGCCAUCAUAUAUACAUGUACAGGAGGGAGGCCAAAGGCCAGAAUGCAAAAGGCCAAAGGACACCAUNN